rnacentral:lncRNA from 1 species
GGGCUUCCCCAGAUGGGCAGUAAGGCUUAACGAAUGGUGGUUUUUGUUUUUAAACUAAGAAUCAUUUGUAAUCAUAGCUCUUAGCACCUUUCACUUGAUUUUAGAGCUGAACCUACAGUGAAAUACCCAUACAGUACACCGGAACUUGAGAUCAUUUCCACCUUAAAUUACAAUCACGAAGAGGAAUUGAAAGUCAGACUCCAAAAGGCAGGCGGUUUGCCCCCACAUCCCAUCUGGAUCCAUUUAAUUCCUGCUGUGAGGGCACCUAUUACACUGGGAAACCUCACACGGCCAUCUCCAUGACCAACGUGUCACUAUUCAGCUCGUGCUGCCAUCUCAGAAAGGCAAAGCUUCCAACUUCUCACGUACAGUGUUUUCCUCUAGGUGACGUAUAGGCCUUGGUAUACUCUGCAUUUCAACGAUGAGCUACUACAAAAUUAGAUCAUCUCCUUUGGAAAACCAACUACAAGGUCAUAGGGGUAGUUCCAUAAUGAGGGCGUAUUAAUAAUGUCUUCUUUAAAAAAAAAAAAACAAACACUGAAGUGUCAUUUUAAUGAAAUCAAAGCAGUAGCAUCCGGGAAUAGAGCAUCAAUAAAAGAAACAAGCACUGUCAAUGACGUCUCUCUUCUUUGUGGGGUUUUUUUUUUCCUAUUCACCCUCCUUUUUCUUUCCCCAGCACAUUCAAGUGUUCUCAUUUUUGGCAUUUUCUUCCACAUACCAUCUCCUGAUGCCACCUCAUUCAGAGCCAUUUCUUCUCCCUGCUCGGUCUACAUGCUCAGUUCCUAAGUACAGUCUCACACAGCAGGUGAAGAGUCUCCUUUAUAGCACUGGCAUAAGCACUCAUUAAAUACCACGUGGCUGCACACUUCAUUGAGCCUCCACCUCUCCCGAAUGCUCUCUUCCUCCUGCUUAAGGAAACCCAGGUCCUUCACAUCACCGUGCAACUCUUUGCUUUGUCCUUUCUCAAGUCUGUAGCCACUGUAGAAAGUUCUGGCCUGCCAGGCAUGUGUGAAAUUCGCUUUGUUGCCCUCUGUGAUUUGUUUCGUUUCACGUUUUUGUUUGUUUUAUUCACACACGCCAAGGUGGCAACAUGAAAAAUGUCUCUGACACUGUUUUCUGACUGUAAGGCUGAGCAUUCAAUGUACGUAGCUGCUCCAAUCUGUUUGGCCAUAUUUGCACCCUGGUCAUAGGACACGGGUGUCUGCCUGUGAUUGGAGAGUUCUACUAGUGUGCUUACAUCCGUGCGCAGGUCCGAUUUGCAACCAACCAAAAGCAUUUUGGUAUUUGGACAGAACUCCUGGAUUUCUCCUUUCCACUUUUUUAGCACGCUGUCAAGAGUCUCUGGACGACUGAUGUCAAAGCAGAUCAAAACCGCAUCGGAGUCUGGGUAAGAGAGUGGACGGACAUUGUCGUAAUAAGGAGACCCUGCAGGGAAACAAGAAAACGUUAUCAGUCUGCGUUUCAUUUUCUGCAGUUACUCAUACUUAAUCAGAACAUUUAGGAAGAGUUCCAGUGAAGAUCUAUACCAGCACCUUCUCCUCAGCACUGUAUUCGUGACACAUGAGAUUGAAUUGCUCAAUUCCCCCUCUUGUCUUUUGCUUUUCA